GCCUCGGUAGCUCAGUCGGUAUGCACUUUCUUUAGAAAAGAAAGCGCCCAAAGAAACGGCAAAGAGCGUUGCCUUGGUAAGGCAGAGGUCGCGGGUUCGAAUAAGUCUGGCUGCAUGGAACAGCAGCCUCUCUAAGGGAUUCCCGCCCGGGGCU
rnacentral:tRNA from 1 species